UUCCAAAUGCCAUUGAGAAAUGAGUUGCCCCGGUAGAGGUUUUUUUCUCUUAUUUUUUAUUUUUUUGUUUUUUUUUUGCUUUUGUUUUCUCGUUUUUUUGCUUCCUUUUUUACUUUUUUUUGCUUUUUUGCUUUUUUGCUCUUUUUUUUAUUUUUUUGUUUUUGCCUCCACUGAACUGUUUAUUUUGAGGCGACAUGAUGUUAAUCUUGAACAGACUGCAAACUUCUGAUGUCGUGCGGUUGUUCAAAUUCAAUGCAUUGUCUAAUAUGAUCCUUUUUGGCAUUCCAUAUUGACAUAUGAUUCUUCAAGAAAUUUGUUGAUUGUCAGCUUUGUGAUAUUGGCUUAUGAAGCAGCUUCCAC
rnacentral:lncRNA from 1 species